rnacentral:rRNA from 1 species
GUGACCUCAUCUCAGGUGAGAACACCCGCUUAGUUUAAGCAUAUAAUUAAGUGGAGGAAAAGAAACUUACAAG